UGGGGAAUAUUGCACAAUGGAGGGAACUCUGAUGCAGCGACGCCGCGUGAACGAAGAAGGCUUUCGAGUCGUAAAGUUCUUUUAUAUGGGAAGAUAAUGACGGUACCAUAAGAAAAAGCCCCGGCUAACUCCGUGCCAGCAGCCGCGGUAAUACGUAGGGGGCUAACGUUGUCCGGAAUCACUGGGCGUAAAGGGUUCGCAGGCGGAAAUGCAAGUCAGGUGUAAAAGGCAGUAGCUUAUCUACUGUAAGCAUUUGAAACUGCAUAUCUUGAGAAGAGUAGAGGUAAGUGGAAUUUUUAGUGUAGCGGUGAAAUGCGUAGAUAUUAAAAAGAAUACCGGUGGCGAAGGCGACUUACUGGGCUCAUUCUGACGCUGAGGAACGAAAGCGUGGGUAGCAAACAGG
rnacentral:rRNA from 1 species